UACGUAGGGUGCAAGCGUUAAUCGGAAUUACUGGGCGUAAAGCGUGCGCAGGCGGUUUUGUAAGUCAGAUGUGAAAGUCAAAGGCUCAACCUUUGAAUGCCGAUGGAUACUGCGGAGCUAGAGUACGGAAGAGGCGAGUGGAAUUCCUGGUGUAGCGGUGGAAUGCGCAGAUAUCAGGAGGAACACCAAUGGCGAAGGCAGCACUCUGGGACGUGACUGACGCUGAGACGCGAAAGCGUGGGGAGCAAACAGG
rnacentral:rRNA from 1 species